GCCAGUGUGGCAUAGUGGUUUGAGUGUUGGACUGUGACUCUGGAGACUAGGGUUCGAUGCCCGCGUGGCCA
rnacentral:tRNA from 1 species